rnacentral:sRNA from 2 species
CCUCCCGUCCUCAACGCAGUUAUCGAUCUCUACUUUCUUUGUUCAUUUCGUUGACCCAUCUCCUCGAUUUCUUUCUCCAAGGUCUAUAUUUCUGUUUAUCUGGACUACUAGUCGUACUGACGAGUGGAGGUCAAUGGUUUGACUGGAUCCGUCGUCUGAACCCCUCUCAGAGAAGCAACAUACAGUUCUCUGCUACCCCUACUAUACUCACCACCAUUUCUUAAACUGUUUAUCGUCCCACAAAUCUUCCUGUUUCUUUCUCUUGUCUCUCACUAUUUUGUUCCAGCUAUAUAUAUAUAUAUAUAUAUAUAAAGGGACAAAGUACACCACUAUCCCUUCUCCUAUCCAAAACCCACCCCAGGCUUCCUACCCCUGUUUUCAACACAUGUGCGUCAAAAAAAUGCACCUCCUAAACCUGCCCACAGAACUCCUAGAAUAUAUCUUCGACUUCUCUUCUGUCACCAGCUGCCUCCAAACAGCUUAUACCUGUCGCACGCUCUUUGCAGUUCUCUCAAACUAUCGCAAGGGGCUUUUGUACCAACUGUCUCAACUCCCCUCAACCCCUAGAACCCUCAGCACUGUCAAUACCAGUCACAGUGGUGGUGGUGACAAUAACGACAAUGAACUCUCCUCUAAAGGCAUAGCAGAGCUCUUUCUCUUGCUCCAAAGACGGGCAGCCCAGCAGCUGCGUGGCGCCAACUUCCACGCCAACCAAAGUGUAUACACUUUUGACAAGGACGCACCUGCCAUUGACACUCUGGCUUCAACCAUACACCGUGACGGUGAUCCCAAUGUAGCGUUGGUGCAGAAGGGUCUACCCAGUGUUUUCUUGUAUUUUGUUUCUGGGGGUCAGAUGGUGCCGCGGGGCGUGCUGGAAGCCUUCACCGUGUGUCCUGGGAAGGUUGAGGUGAUUAAGGCCGUUAUUAGUGACAGGGGGAAUACGGUUUCUGUAUUGCAGAGAUUUACGCCCUUUCCGGCAAAGGACGGUGAGAACGGGUCGCAAGGAGUUGGCGAAAGCGGAACUGUGAAUGGCCAUGGGAAGACGCCGAGAAACAAACACCCCUUUGAAGAAGAGGCGAUGAGGCCGUACCGGGCUGAAAGCACACAGCUUGUGCAUUACCGCCGCAGCAAGCCCGGGUCAGGAUAUUCGCGCGUGACGAUUUCUGCCUUCCCGUCCCAAGAUGAGUAUCGCCCAUUGGCAAUUGCUGUGGCCGAUCAAUAUCUGGUGGCGAUAUCAUGGCAGCAUAAGCAGUAUCCAGACAGACGUAUGAUCGUUGUCCAUACCGCGCAACAAGAUGAGACUGCAGGAAAAAUGAAACUAUCGUACCAAGUUUACAACGACAAUAUUAUCAUUGACGAAGACGGAACCAUGCCGUAUGACAACGGUUAUCAUCGACACCGGAACACACGGCCUAUCGAACCGGUAAUCCAAAUGGCCUUCAAUGACGGCGUGACCCAGCUGCUCUACUAUCACCCCGCCUCAACAAUUUAUGGCCAUUUCCAACGCAUCAAUCUUGAACCCGGUGGAACAAUAAGCACCAGCGGUCUCCUUGGCAACUCCUGCUGGGUAAUAUACCGCAACAACCUCACAAUCAACAAUGUCGAAGAAGACAACCUUAAAUUCACUAUCGCCAUCCCCUUUUUCAGCACGCACGAGACCGUGACCAAUCACUUGAAUCGUGAGCAGUGCCACUGGAAAUACCUGGCCCUCGGCACCGCGACAGACAAUCGCGGCGAACUCGUGGCCUGCAUCCUCAUGGCAGAAACCUUCUGCCGCUCUGUCCACUGCCAUCACAUCGAGAACCUCGACCGUGGUCGGCGCUUCGAUAGCUGGCGCGUCGUUGCGCGGUUGGCUGGGUACAGCACAAGCGUGAACACGCUGCCGGGGAUCGUAGCAACGUCGCGACGCGCGACGCGUCUGGCGAUUGCGAAUUGGAAGACCAUCACGGUUUGGCCUUUGGACCCGCAAGCGAUCAUUGAACGGAAUGCGUCUGGUGUCUACCCAGAGAAUAUGAUUGAUGCCGGCGUGACCGGUGCUGUUUUGUUGGAACCCGUGGUAUUGGAGAGUGAGGCUGUGUGUUUCAUGUUAAGUUUUGGGGAAGGGGAGGAUGAGAUUGUUUCGCUGACGGAUCGCGG